CUCGUGGUGUAUUUACCUCUACCCCUUUCUUCUUGUUCGUUAUCCUGAACGAAAAACCUUGGUACGGAGCCAGCCCAACCAUGGAACACACGGCUAGCUCUACCCACUCCCAGUCCCAGCUUCCCAGCACCUAAAAUCCAGAUAACUCUACCCCCCUCGCCGCUUCUCGACCCCCCCUCCUCCAGCUUCUUCAUCAUCCUCCUCGACUUCGAGCCCCGCGGUCACCACCGACCGCAGCGUCGGGCGAAGAACCAUGGCGUCUUGCUCCCACCCUUGGCUCUUCCCAGGCAUGUCGCCGCCGCCGGCUGCCUCCACCGCCGUGCCGGUUCCGAGCUUCUGCAAGUCCUCGAAGGUGUUUGCUAGUUUGCGUCAGCGGAGAAAGGCAGGGUCAGUCGCGCCGACCAGAACGCGGAGAUGCACGAUCAGGUGCGUCAAGGACGAGUCUAUCCAUUUUGACCCGUCGAAGAUCGAAGCGCCACCGUACUCCAGUUAUUUCGACUCCACAUCUGGUCAGCUCGAGCCAGCGUCAGGUGCCCGGGCAAGCAUACCUGGGCAGGAGUACUGGCCGGAGGGCACUGCAGCCCGCGUCCGUGCUGCCCGUGCACCUGCACCGGUCGGGGAGUCGGCCGGGACUCCGUCUCUUGGCAAGAAACCCGGGAGUAGGAGGAAAGGGUACAAGGGGCAGGUAGCGUCUGCAUCAGCGGCGGGCGGUGCAGAGACCAGUGGAGAUGACGGCGAGUUCAUUGUGGCCACUGAGGUUCCACUAGAUGAUACAUUGGAGGAAACAAAUGAUUCGCUGAAUGAAUAUGUCAUUUACGAGGCGCCCAAGGAGGAGAGUUUGAGCGAGUAUGAGAUGGACAAGAUGAUGGGGCGGCCACACCCAUUUGUUGACCCAGCAAAGGCGAUGUUGGCAGAGGAACCGAAAUCGAGCGAGGAGCUCUGGUGGAAUUGGAGGAGGAAGUCCGAGGCAGAAAUGUGGUCAAGGUGGCAGAGGAGGCGCCCAGAUGUUGACACGGUCUUUGCAAAGGCAAUGGCCGAAACUGGGCAGAUUAAAAUAUUUGGAGAUCACCCUACAAGAACAGAAGCUGCUCUUGCCAAGACAAGAAGAUAUUUACACAAAGAGGAAAGGUUAGAAGCAGAACAGAGGAGACUAGAAGAAAUAGGACCAAUAGCAUACUAUUCAGAAUGGGUAGAAGCAUAUAAGCAAAAGGACACAUCAUGGGAAGCCAUUCAGAAGCACUUUGAGGAGACUGGUGAAGAUGCAAAUACUCAACUUAUAACAAUGUUUCAACACCAAACUGCUGGGGAAUAUCGUAUCAUGAUGGGCACUGAUGUUCGUAUACAACGAGAUCCUUUGGCAAUGAGGAUGCGUGAAGACCAGAUUAAACAGAUUUGGGGUGGUGAUCCUGUUUACCCGACUGUGAACUAUGUUCAGGAUCCUGAUGAAGUGAUUGACUACAGGAGUCCGGAAUUUCAUGAGCCUACCCCUGAAGUUGUACCUUAUUUGAUGGAGCAUGGGAUAAUGAUCACGAAAGAAGAACUGGAUGCACGUUUGAUGGAAGAGGAAGAAGACAUCAAUCAAGACAUCACGUACAUUCCUGAAGUCAAAGAUCCCAUGGCUACUGCUGUUGAUAUUGGAGAGCAUUCUUUCAAUGAAGAUAGUGAUGAUGAGGAGGAGGUUGACAAAGCUGUCACACUGCCCGAGUCACUAGAGGAUGAGGAAGAUGGCGGGGAUGAGGCUGUGGAAGUUGAAGGGAAAGUGAGUCAAAACUGGAGUGUUCUAAAGACUACUGGGCAGGACGAAAAACCAAAGGAAAAGUUAAAGAAAGAUCAGAUGUCACUUAAAGACGCUAUUAAUGAGUCCGAGAACCUUACUGAUUUCCUUAUGGACUUUGAAGAAGAUGAGUAAUAUUGUGGGUGUUUAGUCUCUGUUGUGCGCAUGACACAAGGUUUAGUUGCCACAAACAUACUCCCUUCGUUGGAAAUGCAAGACAGCUGUAGUGCAGAGUCAUAUUUUUGGAGGACUUACUUCUGGCGGUCCAUAGCCGCUAGGGGCGAUGAAGACGAUUGGAUGCCCACAAAACUCCACCUGUUCAACCGGGCCAGUCAUGUUGGCGAACGAUAUGGUGGUAUGGGAGAUCAUACGAUGGAAGAUAGCCGAAGCUGCCUGUUCGCGACAGAUGUGGCAACGCCGUUAGAAACAAGAACUCAAAAUGGCUCAAAAUAUGAGUGCAGCGGCCAGCGGCCCCUUUAGAAAACAGGAUAGUUAAGAGGCACUGGUCUUGUACUCUGAGAAUUAGCCGCCCAGCAUUUCUCUUGGAUAGCUAAAUGUUUAGCACUUAGCACUGUGAUACAAAGGACCAAAAUGUUACCUUCAGUCCAAACACUUUGAAGAUCA